rnacentral:rRNA from 1 species
UUGGAGGGCAAGUCUGGUGCCAGCAGCCGCGGUAAUUCCAGCUCCAAUAGCGUAUAUUAAAGUUGUUGUGGUUAAAAAGCUCGUAGUUGAACCUUGGGCCUGGCUGGCCGGUCCGCCUCACCGCGUGUACUGGUCCGGCCGGGCCUUUCCCUCUGUGGAACCCAUGCCCUUCACUGGGUGUGGCGGGGAAACAGGACUUUUACUGUGAAAAAAUUAGAGUGCUCCAGGCAGGCCUAUGCUCGAAUACAUUAGCAUGGAAUAAUAGAAUAGGACGUGUGGUUCUAUUUUGUUGGUUUCUAGGACCGCCGUAAUGAUUAAUAGGGACAGUCGGGGGCAUCAGUAUUCAAUUGUCAGAGGUGAAAUUCUUGGAUUUAUUGAAGACUAACUACUGCGAAAGCAUUUGCCAAGGAUGUUUUCAUUAAUCAGGAACGAAAGUUAGGGGAUCGAAGACGAUCAGAUACCGUCGUAGUCUUAACCAUAAACUAUGCCGACUAGGGAUCGGACGGUGUUAUUUUUUGACCCGUUCGGCGCCUUACGGGAAAC